AGAGUUUGAUCAUGGCUCAGAUUGAACGCUGGCGGCAGGCCUAACACAUGCAAGUCGAGCGGUAGAGAGGUGCUUGCACCUCUUGAGAGCGGCGGACGGGUGAGUAAUACCUAGGAAUCUGCCUGGUAGUGGGGGAUAACGUUCGGAAACGGACGCUAAUACCGCAUACGUCCUACGGGAGAAAGCAGGGGACCUUCGGGCCUUGCGCUAUCAGAUGAGCCUAGGUCGGAUUAGCUAGUUGGUGAGGUAAUGGCUCACCAAGGCUACGAUCCGUAACUGGUCUGAGAGGAUGAUCAGUCACACUGGAACUGAGACACGGUCCAGACUCCUACGGGAGGCAGCAGUGGGGAAUAUUGGACAAUGGGCGAAAGCCUGAUCCAGCCAUGCCGCGUGUGUGAAGAAGGUCUUCGGAUUGUAAAGCACUUUAAGUUGGGAGGAAGGGCAUUAACCUAAUACGUUAGUGUUUUGACGUUACCGACAGAAUAAGCACCGGCUAACUCUGUG
rnacentral:rRNA from 1 species